GAUUCUCAGGUGAUUACACACACCUCCAGGUUUGGGCUGACCUGACACUUAAUUAAGAAACCAUCCUUUGACCACGUGGUUCUUCUCCUGGCUCCUAGUAAUCUAAUUAGGGCAAACAAGCACGUGUUCCUACUCCGAAGGACAAUGAAUCUUCCCCUUCAGUUGUCACAAACACCUAAACAAGUGAAUAACGGCAACAAGGAAGCAUGCCCCAGAUAACAUUGGCAUCGGGUUCAGAGAGCAAAAAGUGCAACCCUCCUGUAGUACCUCAAGGGCUGGAGACAAAUAGUUAGACAAAGGCUGGUUCAAAGCUUGGGAGUGGAGAAAACAGUUAGAAUCUAAAGCCCGCCAUACUCAGCGGCUUCCCGAAGCUAGAGAGCAAAUAGUGCUAGAGGAAAUAAGGUAGGCCAGAAAGAGCAAUACAGGAUGAUGGAGACCUGGAGCGCUUUUACGACCACCUGGGGUCUGACGUCUGGCCGUGCCCACAUCCAGGGCACCAGGAUCUCGCCUACAGUCCAGUAAACUCCAGAUCUUUGCUACCUUAAAGGGCUUCUCAGUCCUUUCCUAGUCUUUCUUUACGGGGGCUAGGGAGAGGGCUUCAGUAGGGAUUUUUUAUCUUCUCUAAAAGACCUGGCAAGAAAAAGCAACAUUCGCACAGACCUGAUUUUUGGCGUGACCAAGUACAGGAUGAAGGGAAGAGAGAGCAGAAGCAGGAAUCCGAACAUCUCAGCACCACCGAAGCGCAGUUGAAGUUGAUGCUCUAAAGAGGACAGCGGGACUUAUGGCUUCUGAUCCUAGACACACCCCGGUUCAACUGCAACCGCCAGGGAGCAAAGCCCUCUGGGAAAUGUAGUCCUGGAUUUGGCGGCCGCCUGGCGGUGAUACAUUCAGAGUAUACUUCCAAGCACUAUGAAAAGUUGAAUAACACAACCGUGGAGCAAUGGUCUUCAGUGGUCCAGGGCCUAGGCCUGUGGGAUCGUUGAGCCAGCCCUUCUACCACUCCUCUGGCCACUAAUUGACUCUUUGGAAGUCUCGCGGGUUUGCUAUCUCCUGGAGCCCAAGUCCAGUGUUUGGUUCAAUUUUCCCCAAUCAUUAUUAGGAAAUUACAUUUUGUCUGGGAGACAGCGUCUGGAAAGUAUUCUGAGGUUAAUUACAAAGGGCAGGAGCCGUUAGUCGGACAGUUGGUGUGGCGGAAGAUGUCCUUCCUCAGAGAUGACCUUUGCCCUAUGGGGCAAAGCAAGUUAAGACCUCCUAGAGAGUCACGGUUGUGUGUACUUCGAUCUAUGAUAGUAUCCUUCAUAAUUUCCCAAGCCCUUGGUUGUUAUUUGAUAAUAAAAUAGUUUCUUGG
rnacentral:lncRNA from 1 species